GACCUGGGGUCCCUGCUUCUCCAGGUGCUCCCGGAUUUUGCUCUCUAGCCUCCGGUUCUCGGUCUCCAGGCUCCUCACUCUGUCCAGAUGUGGGCCACCAGCCUUAAGCCAGAGGGAGCUUUGUAAGACAGGAACAUAUAAAAUGAUAAAAGCUUCUCUACGUACAGUUUUCCUGACUCUGAUUCUGCGUGGGACAACCAGUGAAAAUUGCAGGUGAAGAGAAGAAAUGCGUAUUUAUUCCUCCACUGGGAAAAAAAAUACCAUCCAAAGCUACAUGACUUGAGAGACAAGGUCUCACUAUGUUGCCCAGGCUGGCCUCGAACUCCCGGGCUUCAGCAGUCCUCCCGCCUCACCCUCCGAUGUAGCUAGGACUACAGGACCGCGACCCGGCGCUGCCUAAGAACUGUUUUUAAACGUGAAAGCCACGGCUAUCAUUUGCUUUUUGCUCUGCUCUUCAUCUUCUGGAUAAACCUCGUAACACACUGCUUGUUUUGGGUGGUAGUCUGCUGCCUACGCCCCGUCAGACAAGUGGCCUGAGUCCCCCGCAACCCCUGCAGGUCCGGCCGCCGGCGCCAAGCCUCAAGGCAUCCAAGCCAGGAACGAUCGCGGUCAGCUCUGCCACGGAACAUGUGCAAGACCCGGCAGCAGGUUCCGGGGGAGGCGAAUUGAUUUCACAACGGUCGAGAAGGAGGACCCCGCCCACUUCGUCAUUUCUCGGAAGCCCAGGGACUCGCCGGAAGAGCGGCUCAAAAGCCGGAAAACUGGCAAAUCCGAGUCUCCCGGCGCAUGCGCGGCGCAAUCGGCUUCGCGUGGUUGCAGUAGAGAGGAUCCCUCCGCCAGCCACUGCAUCCGGCGGCCGGAUCUAACUUACCCGCUAGCGUUUUACCCUUGCGCGGCCGUGGCGUAGGGCGGUCUUUUCCCUUGGUCCUCCGCGGCGCCGCCUCUUGUGACGUAAGCCGCAGAAUCCUCUGUCUUAGUUCGGCUCUAUUGCCGCGAGCUUGACUCUUCCUGGGUCUGAGGAAAAGUAAAAGUAAUUUUGUCAUUUCCUGAAACUUCAAGUUAAACCUUUAAGCUGUUCAUUUCCUAAAAGGGUGAAAACGCGGGCACCCCUCGAGCUAGUUCAUCGCCUUUUAACCUAAAAAAAGUAUACUCAUGAGCAAGAAAGAAAACAAACAACAAACAAAAUGAAGUAGGAAACUCAAUGUUAACAGCUUAACACAGAAAGCCACUACAACAAUGAACAAAAAUUGCAAGUUAAUGAUAAAGUAAUGUAGAAACAAAAUUACAGACUACUAAAAACAUGGGAUUGCCAGUUGUUCAGAAAUUCCACAGAUGGAUCGUGAGUGGUUGUUGGAUCUUUCCAGAUCACCACACCACAUCACCCAGCCACUCUGCCCAAUGGGAGGGCAGACAGUGUUCCAGUGUAGGAGGAAGGGGUGUAAGGUGCGGGCAGUUUGUGAGGAGGGCACCAACGAGAGCUACUGUGAGAAAGUCUGCAUGGUCAAAAAGUGGAUUACCAAGAACAAAGCAUCAUAAUGUUGUCCAGUGGACCCCAGGUUGAAAAGUCAGGUUCUGGAAUUGGCUGUCUGGAUUAAAAUACUGGUUCCAUCACUGAGAAGCUGUGUGACCUUGCGAAAAUUACUUAAUCUCUUUGUGUUUCAGUUUUCUGAUCUGUAAAAUGAAGUCAAUAAUGCCCCUUUUCUGAGGCCUCCCUUGGCCAGAUAUGAUUAAAUAUUUAUCAAACUAAGGACUCAGCUUACUUGGAGUGAAAACUCUUCAGGGCCUCUCAGAGAUACCUAAGAUAAGUACCUUAUUUUAGUAGCUCUCAAAUAAAGCUUCUUUUAUGCUCUGUCUUUUUCAUAUAUAAAAUAAGGUCUAAUUAGAAAGUUUUAUAAUGGAGGCAGUCAAUUCCCCAAUUCCUUAUUUGUUUGAAUUAACUUUUAAAAAAUUGGGGUGUUCACUCUGGCGUUGGCUCAAUCCAGACUCUGUAAUCAGCCAACAAUCUGUGCUUCACAAAGGCUGGCGUCCUAACUGCCAGCUUCUGCCAUCCGCACCUUUUCCGUGGGGUAAUACAUUUUAAUUGGUACUUCUCUGAGAGCCCUACACAUCUCCAUCUGGCCAAAUAAACAUACUUUUACUAUUCAGCCUCAACAUCUUGGCAGUUAACAAGAGGACAGACUUGCCACAAUGGGUAAUCUUUAAGAUGCAUAAAAUCCUAAAAUUAAAGGACCAGGUACAGGUGGUAUAAUCAAUGGCUGCCUAGAAGAUGGCUCAUCUACAAAGUGGCUUUGUGUUCCACAGUCUUUUUAACACUGCUCUUGUGAUCCUAAAUGCAGUUCCUGAGCCGAGUCAGCAUUGAGAGCUCUCUCCUCUCAAAGGGCACAUUAGUGAUGAAAUAUUUCACUUCCAAUGACAGCAUAACUUUUUGGAUAUAGGCUUAUUAGCAACGUGUUUCCACUGGUUGGAUUGAGCAAGUGUAACCAGAAGGCAGAAUGGUGAAAUGGUUAAGAGCAUGGGUUCUAGAGUCAGGCUGCGUUCAAAUUCUGCUGCUGUUAAUUUAUCUUUGUGACCUUGGGCAGUUACCAUACCUCUCUGUGCCUCAGUUUCCUCAUCAGUAAAGCAGAGAUAAUGUCAGUAUUUUCCUCAUAAGAGUAUUGCAAGGACUGAUUAAAUGAGAUAAGGUGUCUGAUAUGUUUAGCACAGGGCAUGACUUGUAUUUGCUAACAAUUAUUUUUAGGCAAGGUCAGUAGACCAAAUAACUUGAGCAGCAGAAAGGAAGUGGAAGGCGAAUAACCAGCUAUGAGGUUAUUUCUCAGAUAAUUUCUUCCUAUUUCAAUGCUUCACUUUUUACAGUUUAAUCAUCAAGCAACAGUGUUAGGGAUUACGUGAGAUAAUAUGGUCUGUGUGCUGAUUCACUCAUUUAGUGUGGUCUCAUUUCCUUAAAGAACACAUCUUGAGAGAACACUUUUUUUCUCUCUAACCCUCAGGGUCAUCUGGAUGAAAUGAAUACUUUUAGGGCAAAAUGGCUGAUACUGCUUCCUUGAUAACCACAUAUAGAAAACUGACAACUGUUUAGAACAAAGCCAAAGAUGAAACCAAAUAUAAAACCACUGAUGAAAACUAAGUGAAAAAUAUAAGCAAAAUAGAAGAAAAAUAAGGUCGUUAUUUCAAGAAAACGAAAGACAGUCAAUGCUGUUCUUUGUAUUCACAUACAAUUUGGUUCACACCAAAAUGUGAGUUGUUCUCUAUGAGAUGUUAUUAAAUGUUCCUAAGAAGACUCGCUUUAGAAAAAAACAGUAUUCCUAAGGCAUGUCCAAUCUGUCUCUUUUCUUAAUUGCUAUAGUUCUACUUUAUUAUUAUAAUGUAUUCAGCAUUAAAAUUCAUUAUUUCCCAAUAAGCUUGACUUUAUCUUAUAAUGAAAUACAACUGUCUUCUUGGUGAUUUUUAUAGGAGAUAUUAUGGAAAUAUUUUAUUAACAGAAGUAAAUAAAGUGUCAUAUCAUUUGGCUUUUCAGCCGUGUUAUAACAUUUGCAUUUUGUUUUUUCUGCCUUUACCCUCCCUGCUUCUAGCUGCAUAAAAUAAUGCAUUUUAAAAAUAAAAAUACAUUAUUUUUCAACAUAUGUGUGACAAUAAAAAGAUCACUGGGUCAGGGGUCAGACGAUCUGAGUUCUGCCCUUUCAUUUUCUUAUCUGUAAAAAUGAUUCCUAAGAUUCCUUCUAUUACUAACAUUUUAUAAUCUACAUUCAAAUUUUAUGUGAAAGUUUAGUGCAUCCGAGAUAACUAUUUUCAAAUAAGAAUCUCUUUUGAUGCUAACAUCUAUGCAUCAAAUUCUUCAUUCUCAAGUUGUAAGUUGCUCUUUACAUAAUUUCACCUAUGUACAUAUAUUCUAUAGAAAAAAGAGACAUUCCAGUAUCUUAACAAUGUCAAAAAGGAUAUACUGACACUAACAUUAACUGGAGAUUGGAAGACUAGACAAAUCAAGGCUAGAACUACAUAAGGGAAGCUAUUCUCCCAAAUACGCUGUUUUUGCUGUUGUUUAACCAAAGAUAUCUUCCCUUUCAUUCUUCUUUUUUAAAGCUAAGGAUAUUUAAGACAUUAAUAUGUUUGGCUAACUGAUUAAUA
rnacentral:lncRNA from 1 species